UUAGGAAUCUUGCGCAAUGGGCGAAAGCCUGACGCAGCGACGUCGCGUGACUGAUGAAGUCUUUCGGGAUGUAAAGGUCUUUUUUGGGGGAAGAAGGAUGUGACGGUACCCCAAGAAUAAGCCCCGGCUAACUACGUGCCAGCAGCCGCGGUAAUACGGAGGGGGCGAGCGUUGUCCGAAUUCACUGGGCGUAAAGCGCGCGUAGGCGGACCUUUAAGUCAGGGGUGAAAUGCCGAGGCUCAACCUCGGAACUGCCUUUGAAACUGGGGGUCUUGAGGUAUGGAGAGGGAAGUGGAAUUCCUGGUGUAGCGGUGAAAUGCGUAGAUAUCAGGAGGAACACCUGUGGCGAAGGCGGCUUCCUGGCCAUAUCCUGACGCUGAGGUGCGAAAGCCAGGGGAGCGAACGGG
rnacentral:rRNA from 1 species